AGCAAUUUUUUCUUCUUUAUUUUUGUUAAAUAAGAUUCCAGAAAGUAUAGUGCAAACACUCAGUAGAAAAGUUGCAAUUAAGAAAUGUACAUUCACAUUUAACAUUUCAGUCCAUUCACUGGUUUUUGCUUUUUAAAUAAAAAUAGGACAAAUUAUUCAAUUACUUGUCUCAAUUUAACAAUCUUGGAAAAGACUGGAAGGUGCUCUACAGUGUUCAGUUGACGUAAAAAUAGACCCGUAUUGAUUAUACAAAUCUAUCACGAGAGGUUCCCCAGUGAUAUUGAGUUGGUGUCCUGGAACAGACAUCUGGUUUCCGCGUCUAAAGAAGCACUCUCAGCAAGGUCUACUGAUGGGAGAACGUGUCACCCAGGCCCACUCUGUGCUCCCAGGCGGGACACGGAGGGACACAGGGGUUCACACAAACCCUUCUCAGACAAUCAAGAAAGUCCAAGCGGGGGCUUUGGGUUUACCUUAAAUGAGAGAUGGUUGUAAUUGUUACAUUAUCUCUGCUUGUGCAAGGCGGUGUGCAAUCAGUGUGAAGGAGAGAUGGAGGAAGGGGGCGGGGCUCUGCAGGUGUGCAGGAGAUGCAAGGCUCAGGGUCCAGGAUCCGCCGUGGCGGGACGCUCUGCGGCCAGCCGGCAGACGACCCGUGGUGGCCUGGGCCUGUCCCUUUGCACAUGCUGCAUGUGUUGGAAUCCAAACGAAGUUUCACACACUUGGGAAUCUCACAGCAUGCGAUGCUGAGUGCGUGUGGCUUGCGGGGCCGCAGUUUCCAACGGGGAGGAAGGCAGGACUGCAAGCCUCUCUGGGGCUGAUGCCCGGGGAGCGCCCUACGGGCAGGUGCAAGAGGCCGUGGAGGCUUCCUCGGGACUCCCGGAACGUGGGAGUGGUCCCCUGAGACUGAGAUCUGCCCCUGGGUGUCCUCCUGUCCCCAGGAAGGGACACUACACCACGUGAUGAGGACAUUGGCCGGCUCUGGCCAGGAGUUGGGGGCUGGCUUGGCUCCUUGUGAGGGGAGAGGCGUGUGCAGCUUGGGGGUUCCAGGGGGCCUGGCUCUCCCCCUGGCUGAUGUCAGAGAGGCCUUACAGGAAAAGACAGGACGACUGUGCUCCUGGCCGAGGGAGAGGCUGUUUACUAAGACACGAUGGCAGGUGGUACUGCGGACAUGGCUUCAGGACAGAAAGUGUAACAAGACAGGGCGAGGCGGGCUCCUUUGGGCCCCCACUGUGUCUCUGCUGGGGAUCAGCUGUUCAAGCAGAGGCAGGGCUCAGCCGCGAGCACAUGCCCUGUUCUCAUCUCGCCACGUGAGGCCUGGGUGAGGAUGACCUUGUGCCUGGGCACAUCCCUGGAUGGGCUGUGGGGCAAACCCCCGGCCUGAGGACCCACCUGGCUGCUCAGAACCAACCUGCCAGGCACCCCCGCCACUUGUGCGUGCACGGGCUAAGGGCUCCAUCAAAACCAACACUUCACUGAGUUCAUGGUUAGCUACGAGGCGCCCAAGAGAACGGACACCCAGGGGCUUGGGAUGGAUGGGACCCGGAUGCCUCCUGGUCCUGCGCUCAGUGCUGUGCAACUUUGUCCAAGUCUGUCACCUCUCUGAGCCUCUGAUUCCUCACGGACAACGUGGGGCGUGUAAGCAGGCCUCCCUCUGCAGACUGUCUGGAGGAGAGCGGGCUCGAGGCCGGGAAGGCGCUCCUUGCGGUCACAGGCAAAGCCCAUCAGAGUCAUCUGCUCACCAAAGCCCCCACGGGCCUCCCCUGCGC
rnacentral:lncRNA from 1 species